rnacentral:tRNA from 1 species
AUCGGCUUAGUAUAUUGUUUAUGUACGCGGGAUUGUAAAUCCUGAGGGAGGGUUUCUAGCCGGGA